UACGUAGGUGGCAAGCGUUGUCCGGAUUUACUGGGCGUAAAGAGCGCGCAGGCGGUCGGAUAAGUCGAAUGUGAAAGCCCCCGGCUCAACCGGGGAAGUGCAUCUGAAACUGGCGAGCUAGAGUACGAAAGAGGGUCGCGGAAUUCCCGGUGUAGAGGUGAAAUUCGUAGAUAUCGGGAGGAACACCGGUGGCGAAGGCGGCGACCUGGGUCGAUACUGACGCUGAGGUGCGAAAGCGUGGGGAGCAAACAGG
rnacentral:rRNA from 1 species